rnacentral:rRNA from 1 species
UACGGGAGGCAGCGGGGGGAAUAUUGCACAAUGGGCGCAAGCCUGAUGCAGCCAUGCCGCGUGUAUGAAAAAGGCCUUCGGGUUGUAAAGUACUUUCAGUCGUGAGGAAGGUGUUAAGGUUAAUAACCUUAGCAAUUGACGUUAGCGACAGAAGAAGCACCGGCUAACUCCGUGCCAGCAGCCGCGGUAAUACGGAGGGUGCGAGCGUUAAUCGGAAUUACUGGGCGUAAAGGGCACGCAGGCGGUUAAUUAAGUUGGAUGUGAAAUCCCCGGGCUUAACCUGGGAAUGGCAUUCAAGACUGGUUAGCUAGAGUCUUGUAGAGGGGGUAGAAUUCCAUGUGUAGCGGUGAAAUGCGUAGAGAUGUGGAGGAAUACCGGUGGCGAAGGCGGCCCCUGGACAAAGACUGACGCUCAUGUGCGAAAGCGUGGGGAGCAAACAGGGAUUAGAUACC